rnacentral:rRNA from 1 species
CUACGGGGGGCUGCAGUGGGGAAUUUUGGACAAUGGGCGCAAGCCUGAUCCAGCCAUUCCGCGUGAGUGAAGAAGGCCUUCGGGUUGUAAAGCUCUUUCGCAAGGGAAGAAAACUUAUCCUCUAACAUAGGGUGAGGUUGACGGUACCUUGAUAAGAAGCACCGGCUAACUACGUGCCAGCAGCCGCGGUAAUACGGAGGGUGCGAGCGUUAAUCGGAAUUACUGGGCGUAAAGCGUGCGCAGGCUGUUUUGUAAGUCAGAUGUGAAAUCCCCGAGCUCAACUUGGGAACUGCGUUUGAAACUACAAGACUAGAAUAUGUCAGAGGGGGGUAGAAUUCCAUGUGUAGCAGUGAAAUGCGUAGAGAUGUGGAGGAAUACCAAUGGCGAAGGCAGCCCCCUGGGAUAAUAUUGACGCUCAUGCACGAAAGCGUGGGGAGCAAACAGGAUUAGAUACCCCUGUAGUC